GACGAACGCUGGCGGCGUGCUUAACACAUGCAAGUCGAACGGAAAGGCCCUGCUUUUGUGGGGUGCUCGAGUGGCGAACGGGUGAGUAACACGUGAGUAACCUGCCCUUGACUUUGGGAUAACUUCAGGAAACUGGGGCUAAUACCGGAUAGGAGCUCCUGCUGCAUGGUGGGGGUUGGAAAGUUUCGGCGGUUGGGGAUGGACUCGCGGCUUAUCAGCUUGUUGGUGGGGUAGUGGCUUACCAAGGCUUUGACGGGUAGCCGGCCUGAGAGGGUGACCGGCCACAUUGGGACUGAGAUACGGCCCCAGACUCCUACGGGAGGCAGCAGUGGGGAAUAUUGCACAAUGGGCGGAAGCCUGAUGCAGCAACGCCGCGUGCGGGAUGACGGCCUUCGGGUUGUAAACCGCUUUCGCCUGUGACGAAGCGUGAGUGACGGUAAUGGGUAAAGAAGCACCGGCUAACUACGU
rnacentral:rRNA from 1 species